rnacentral:rRNA from 1 species
CUACGGGUGGCUGCAGUGGGGAAUAUUGCACAAUGGAGGAAACUCUGAUGCAGCAACGCCGCGUGGAGGAUGACACAUUUCGGUGCGUAAACUCCUUUUAUAUAAGAAGAUAAUGACGGUAUUAUAUGAAUAAGCACCGGCUAACUCCGUGCCAGCAGCCGCGGUAAUACGGGGGGUGCAAGCGUUACUCGGAAUCACUGGGCGUAAAGAGCAUGUAGGCUGAUAGAUAAGUUGGAAGUGAAAUCCUAUGGCUUAACCAUAGAACUGCUUCCAAAACUGUCUAUCUAGAAUAUGGGAGAGGUAGAUGGAAUUUCUGGUGUAGGGGUAAAAUCCGUAGAGAUCAGAAGGAAUACCGAUUGCGAAGGCGAUCUACUGGAACAUUAUUGACGCUGAAAUGCGAAAGCGUGGGGAGCAAACAGGAUUAGAUACCCUGGUAGUC